CGAGUGGACAUGCGCCGACAAUAUACGGGGCUAAGCAUUGUACCGAAGCGGCGGAUCAGUACUUUGUACUGGUGGUAGGAGAGCUUUCUGUACGGGUUGAAGCAGUUGGAUAACCAACUGUGGACUGUCCAGAAGUGAGAAUGCUGGCAUGAGUAACGAGAGACAUGUAAAAAACAUGUCCGCCGUAAACCCAAGGUUUCCUGGGCAAGGCUAAUCCUCCCAGGGUUAGGCGGGAGCUAAGGCAAGGCCGGAAGGCGUAGUCGAUGCACAACAGGUAGAAAUUCCUGUCCCUCCAAAAGAGCGUUAUCACCAAUGGGGUGACGGAGAAGGGUAGCUAGGCGGGGUUCUGGACGUCCCCGUGAUGACACGUAGGUUGAGAAGUAGUGAAAUGCGCUUCUCAUAUGACUGAGGUGUUGGACGAAGCAAUUGAGUGAAGCUAGUAAGCCCAUACUUCCAAGAAAAACCUCUAGGGAGCUCUGAGGAGCCCGUACCGCAAACCGACACAGGUGGGUGGGUAGAGCAUACCAAGGCGAUCGGGAGAACUAUGGUUAAGGAACUCGGCAAAAUUGCCCCGUAACUUCGGGAGAAGGGGUGCCGGUUUGGGUGAUAAGACACGCUCUUUGAGCCUCGGCCGGUCACAGUAAAUAGGUCCAAGCGACUGUUUAUCAAAAACACAGGACUCUGCUGAAGUCGUAAGACGACGUAUAGGGUCUGACGCCUGCCCGGUGCCGGAAGGUCACGAGGAGUUGUUAGCAUUAGCGAAGCAGCGAAUCUAAGCCCCGGUAAACGGCGGCCGUAACUAUAACGGUCCUAAGGUAGCGAAAUUCCUUGUCGGGUAAGUUCCGACCUGCACGAAAGGCGUAACGAUUUGGACGCUGUCUCAACCAUAGACCCGGUGAAAUUGCACUAGUCGUGAAGAUGCGACUUACCCGCGGAAGGACGGAAAGACCCCGUGAACCUUUACUGCAGCUUGACAUUGGCUGCCGGUUCGUCGUGUAGAGGAUAGGUGGGAGACUUUGAACCAGGGACGCCAGUUUCUGGGGAGUCACCCUUGGAAUACCACCCUCGACGUUCUGGCAUCCUAACUUGCGACCGUUAUCCGGCGUGGGGACCGUGUCAGGUGGGUAGUUUGACUGGGGCGGUCGCCUCCUAAAAUGUAACGGAGGCGCACGUAAGGUCUGCUCAGAAUGGUCGGCAACCAUUCUUUUGAGUGCAAGAGCAUAAGCAGGCUUGACUGCGAGGCCUACAAGCCGAGCAGAUGGGAAACCAGGUUCUAGUGAUCCGGCGGCUCAGAGUGGUAUGGCCGUCGCUCAACGGAUAAAAGGUACUCCGGGGAUAACAGGCUGAUCUUCCC
rnacentral:rRNA from 1 species